AAAAAAAAUCAAACAAAAAGGAACAGAGGGAGUAUCAAAGAACCGAGUUCAAGAAGAGACAUUACGAAAUCAAUGUGAUAAAGGGAAUUA
rnacentral:sRNA from 1 species